rnacentral:lncRNA from 1 species
GGUUGCCCUCGCGCUUUGGGUGACAUUGAGUCGGUAGACUGGGCUCUGAUGGUCAACCUCAAACUAAGUCCAAAUCAGAGGCAUCUCCUCAAUGAGAGCAGAGGAUGAAGGCUUGCAGAGAUGUUUGAAGGACCUGAUAGUUGGUGAUAUCAACAUUGUCGGCAAAUCUUGAAGUUCUGUCAAAAACUCACCUAUCUUAAUGAGAUACAGUCACGUUCAACAUAUUUGCUAAUUAACUGCUCAUAUCUUUGUCUUGAAACUGGAUCUAAAUCCGUACAACACCAACUCUUUGCAAUGGUUUGCUUCAUAGAUGUUUUCUUCAUGUUUACUUCCUGCCCUCCAUCUGAAUUAAAGGGACAUUUCGGUAUUUUUAAUGUGGGGUUGCAUGGGUUAUAUGAAACCAGUGAGUGUAUUACCCACAAUGGAUGGCGGUCAGUUUUGCCUCUUUGAUGAGAAACUGUUUAAGGAAGCAGCAAGCCGACUAAGAACUGCAGAUGGGGUCCACACUGCAACGUAAUUUAGCAGAUUUUGAUGGAAAGUUCUCGUUUCUAUGGUUACGCUUUUUGCACAGUUUGCAGACCGAACUGCUUUAAGGUUUUGGAAGUUUUAGUUUUUUUUAGUUUUCUUUAUAUUUUAAUUAGUACUUUGAAUCAACAUGUUUUCUCUCUUGACGUUCAUCCAAAAUGCAAGCAGACAGUUUUUAAAGCCCGGAUCUAAACAUUGAGAUUUUUAAGGCCUGAUUUGCAAAGUUGCAAAAAGUGGACAAGUGCGCUUCGCCGUUGAAAGAUUCAUGAGCCGUGCAGUUAUUUUGCAGAAUAAGUAAGUUUGUUUCAUCACGCUUUCAGGAUACCGGCCCACAGCGGAGUUCUGGUAACCGCGGGGGGUGAAGCUUUCAUCCUGUCCUGUUAUUGAUCCGUCUGCAGGAUGGUAUCUUUAGCGGAUCUGAUUUGGCUGAGAGGAAGGUCGUUUCCAGCAGGAAAGAGGGACAAACUAAUGAACAAAUACAUAAACAUCAAAAUCAAGAGGAGGGGAAAGGAAAACGCUCACAUGCAGAGCAGAGAACCUGUACAGUAGAAGAGGAAGUCAGAAUUAUGUGAUAGGAAAAUCAAAACAGCUACAGAGCUUCUGAAAGUUUGACUUUAUCAAUCGAGUCGGAGUUUGAAGAAGUUCAGACAAACCUUUGGAAACGAUGAUGGAGGUGAGUUUACAGAUGGGAUUUUAAGGAGGAUCUUGAGGGAAACGUCCACCAUGAUCAGUGAUUAGUCCAUCAUGUUAAAACACCACAAAGGCACAUGUUUAUAGAUCAUCUUUGGAAACAGAGUUCAGAUACAGGAGCACGAUGUUUUCACUCACUCCUGUGCUUCAGUACAAUGAUGAACUUUCAUUUAUAGACCUAAACCAUCUAUUAACUUGCCUGUUUGGCACUCUGCAUGUUAACCACUGUUGUGCAAGUAUUUCAGCAUUUUCCAAAACUUUCAUGUUUUCCGUCCACAUAACAUUUCAAAACUUUCCACUUUUAAAAAACCCUGAAAACUCAGUUUAAGCUUCCAGGAAGUCAGACUCUGAAGUGUGACCGUAUGAGGGUUCAAAACAAGCUGCGAAAACUUAAAGUCCAGUAAAAGUUGGUGAAGUUGGUGUUAAAUGACUGCGUCUUUUGCUAUAUGUUAAAAACCUGGCAGCAGCAUUUAGAGUUAAAUGCACUGUUUGGAUGUUACACGUGCUCAUGCUAGGAUACGGUGCACUGAAACAAGGGCGGUGCCAGUUUUUAACCAUAGACUGCAUAUAGGCGAGUUUCUUGUGUACAAACAAUACUAGGUGUGUGUGCAACCAUGAGGGCAAAAGCCUGCUUCGGAGUGAACUGAUAUCAGUGAAGAUGCCGUAUUGUUUGCAAGUUCUCCCUGACACAAAAAAAACAGAAAAAAACAUUUGCUGAAAUGUUCAUGAAUUUCACUCAAUUUACCAGGUUGUGUCGUUGUUUUAGAUGUUUCUAAUAUCAGGAGCAGGCUUGCAAUGUUUGCCGAUUGUUUGUUUUGCCGAUUCGUGAAGUUAACAGCACAACAGCUCCUCGUCAUAUUUGCUAGUAAACAAAUAAGAAAUGUCCCGCUUUCUGCCCCCUGGCUGAGCACGCAUACUUGUGAUGAUGCUGCACAGAAACCCGUCCAUACUAUGGACAACUUGGUUCAAGCUCUCGCUAAUUCCAUGUUUUUUCUCCAUUUUUAUGAAACCAACAUGCGCAGUUGCGUUGUGCGCAUUAGGCGGGAGAGUCGCUGAGAGUCGCUGUGAUGACGCUCGGCUCAAACAGCGUAUCCCCCAGGCUAGCUACUGUAUCAGGUGUCAAUCAAAGAAAACAUGAACCCUUGAAUAACUUUUAAGAAAGAUAGAAAAGAAUAGAAAAAAGAGGACUUGAGCACAAACCAGUCUGACAGUAACUACAUGUCUACAUCACAACCAGGGGGGAGAAACAUUUAUAUUCUUUGUAAUUAUUUUGUAAAGUUUGUCCACAGCUCCAUAGGGAUUCCUGGAGGAGGCGGGAUUUAUGAUCUAUACUGCAGCCCGUCACCAGAGGGUGCUGUUUCACCCAGCGAGGAGGCAGACGGCGUCCAUUCUAUAUACAGUCUAUGGUUUUAACGGAGCAUAGAGCUGAGUGUCGUCUGUAUAGAAGUGAAAGUUUCAAUCAUGUCUACGCAGGAUGUAAACAGUGAAGAAGAGGGGACCUAAAAUAGAGCCCUGAGGGACUCCUCAUGACAGAAAAGCAUUUGAGGGGCGGGCAUUUCCAAGAAUUCUGGAAAAUAAACAUCUGAUGGAUAGGAAGUGAUCUGGUCUUGUGCAACAUUGACUGUAAAUGUAUGAGUCCUGUAUUUCUUUAUGUUAUUAUCAACAGUUUUUAAAAGUCUUGACCUCUCUUUGAAAAUAGUUUUUCUGUUAGUAUAAGUUUGAUAUUUUUAGAGGUCAUAUGUCCUCAAAAAUGUUCCCUUUAUUUGAGGAAAUAAAUCAGAGUAAGUUGGUAAAUGUUCGCUUUAAUCCUCGCUCCGGUAAUGCCGACAUCUCUCUUCUAGCGCCAGUCUGAAUUUGCCCCAGAGUGCUGUGCCUAUUUUUCCAAACUUCUCCCUCUUCAUUGAGUGUCAGAAAUGUAUCCCACACGUCAAUC